GUUUAGGCCUCGAACAAGCUUUUUCCUCUGGAACCUUCUGCUAACUCUUCUUUCUUAGUCCCAGUACUUUUGGUCCGUCUUCUACUGUACACUUUUAACAAGCUUUUUCUUUUGGAAGCUUUUGCCAACUCUUCUUUCUUAGUCCCAACACUUCUGGUACGUCUUCUAGUGUACACCUUGAAAAAGCUUUCAGGCCGUUUAUUUCUCCAGCCCAUUUUCUUCAUAUCAAUUUUCCAGACCAGAGAAUUGCAUAUGCCCAUUUUAAUAUAAUAAACUAUCCUAGACAUAACAUCUAACCUUCCACAAUGAGAAACACAUUUAAUUAAUGUCUCAAAAGUUUUCUUCUUUGGUCUGAGUUUAUUCUUCAGCAUCACAACUAGCCAAUCCAUCCCGUCCAUUACAUGAUCUCGUACACACAAUGCGGAAAUGAAAUUAUCAUAGUCGCAGGCCAUUGGCUUCAGACCCUUGUUUUGCAUAUCAUUCCACAACUGUUUCGCUUCUUUCAUGUCACCCAAUUCACAUAACUUCUUAAUAAGGGGAAUAUAAGAUAAAGAUGAUGGCUGUAUACCGUGUGCCAGUAGCUCAUUUAACAGGUUUUUACCUUCAACUAUCAUCCCUUUUUUGCAAAAGCCUUUAAUAACAGCAUUAUAUGAGAUCACAUCUCGAAUAAUUCCCUUUUGCGCCAUUUCUUUAAACAAUUCAAAACCCUCAUUUGUUCUUCCACAUAAGCAUAAAUGUGUAAUCAUAAUGUUGUAACUUGCAGUGGUUUCACCAUAACCUCUGUCACGCAUAUCAUCAUACAGUUUCCUAGCCUUUCUAAAUUCUCCAUUCUUAAAAGUCCCAUGAAUCAGUGAAUUAUAAGUGUAUUCAUUCGGAAGAAUGCCCUUAUUGAUCAUCUCAAACCAAAGCUUUCGAGCAUUACGAAUCCAUCCCAUCUCACAAAGACCGUGAAUCAUUGUUGUAUACAUGACCCUAUCUGGGGAAUAACCUCUAUUCUUAAGAUCAUUGAAAAUCCUUAAAGCAUUAAGCAACAUUUUAUUCUUGCAAAGUCCAUUGAUGACUUCCUGAUAUGUAUAAAUAUCAGGAGCACAAUUCUUGGCAAUCAUUGUGUGAAGAAGCUCAGACACUCUCACAAAAUUCCUCAGCUUACAAAACCCAGAUAUCAAUGCAUUGAAAGCAAUAUUUCUAGGGACUAACCCCUCUUCUAAAACCUGUCUUAGAAGUUGAUAACCCUUCAUAAAUUUACCAUCGUAACAAAAGGCCCGAAUAAGAUAUUCAACAGUCUCAAUAUCAGCCACAACCCUGGAAUCCAACAUAUCAUGAUACAAUUUCCAAACAAGAUCAGUCCUCCGGACACCAAGACAACCCAGUAAAGCUGAAUUCCAUGUCGCUAUUGAUGGGGAAAUUCCAAUGUCUUUAAACUUCACAAACACAUCAAGUGCAUCAUUCACCAUUCCACCAUCACAAAGACAACAUAUAUAGCGCUCCAAAGAACCCUGCUCGGGAGUAAAACUCGAAACUUGAAGAAAAUAUUUUGCUGCAUUGCAAGCCUUAGCCUCCAAAAGCGAAUCAAAAAGCACGCUGCAGGAAACUUGGUCAGGCACAAAAUCGGAAUGCAAAUGCAGCCAAUGAAAGAAUCUUAGCGAGAGAAAAGCAUUGUUUUGUUGCUUCAAAAGCUGCCAAAAGAACUGGGGAUCGGUAAAAUUGAAGGAAGGAAAAUCCAACAUAAGAGUUUGCUCCCAGUUGGAUUUUGUUCUCAUUAUCUUAGCAACUUCUCUAGUCACAUCAGUGAAAUGUUGGUUCACGCUCUGAGGGAGUUCGUGAUUCUGAUUUGGUUUAAUUCCUUCGCUGAUAAAUUCAAUUUCUUUACGUUCCACAGUAAGUUUUCGGAUUUGGGUACUAAAGUUUCCGCAGGUUCUACAAGGCCUUUGGCGAGAGAAAAUCACAAUAGAUGAUGGAGCUCGAGCCAUGAAAUAUCACAGAUUUCACUACUUCCCACUAAUAGUUUUCUUCUUCUACAGCUACAAACAGAAGACACAACAGAGAACGAUGAAAAAGAAAGCCAUUGGUUAUGCAGAGAAGAUUAAAACGAGAAAUCAAACUUACAGGCAUACAAAUGGAAUCAGCUAGGCUCCACAGCUUCAAAGGCUGUGCCAAGGGAGGAAUAGCAUGUUUGCACUACCAUGAUACACCGGUUUGGGCUUAACAAAAACACACAGCUUCACUAGUAAUAUGCAAUGCUGAAAUGCAAAUUACAGCAAAAGUAAUAUAGUGUAAUUGCAAAAGGAGAAAUGGUAAAUAUUCAAUGUUUAAAAUGCAAUUUUCAGCUCAGAAAGUAAUGAAUUCUUUAUGAAUGUUCCCAUUAAGCUCAUAGUAAAAAGGAGAAGCAAAAAACUUCCCAAGUGGUUUUUUUUCCCAUUCCCUAAGCAACCAAAUAGAGAAAUUUGCUUCCUAACAGCCUCCGCCGGCCCG
rnacentral:misc_RNA from 1 species